rnacentral:rRNA from 1 species
UACGUAGGGUGCGAGCGUUGUCCGGAAUUAUUGGGCGUAAAGAGCUUGUAGGCGGUUUGUCGCGUCUGCUGUGAAAAUCCGGGGCUCAACCCCGGACUUGCAGUGGGUACGGGCAGACUAGAGUGUGGUAGGGGAGACUGGAAUUCCUGGUGUAGCGGUGAAAUGCGCAGAUAUCAGGAGGAACACCGAUGGCGAAGGCAGGUCUCUGGGCCACUACUGACGCUGAGGCACGAAAGCGUGGGGAUCAAACAGG